AGACUAGAGUGCAGUAGGGGAGACUGGAAUUCCUGGUGUAGCGGUGGAAUGCGCAGAUAUCAGGAGGAACACCGAUGGCGAAGGCAGGUCUCUGGGCUGUAACUGACGCUGAGGAGCGAAAGCAUGGGGAGCGAACAGGAUUAGAUACCCUGGUAGUCCACGCCGUAAACGUUGGGCGCUAGGUGUGGGGGCCAUUCCACGGUCUCCGUGCCGCAGCUAACGCAUUAAGCGCCCCGCCUGGGGAGUACGGCCGCAAGGCUAAAACUCAAAGGAAUU
rnacentral:rRNA from 1 species